AAACAGCCCCCUAUGUUUUGAUUCUUUGGCAGUUUUGGCCCCCAAGGCAAAAUAAAAAUAAAAAAUUUGACAUGUGGCACCUCACUUAGGGUGCCCGUCAGCGUUGACCGAGUCAACACUGGACUGGGGGUUCAAAACUGCCAAAGAAUCAAAACAUAGGGGGCUGUUU
rnacentral:pre_miRNA from 1 species